CUACGGGUAACUGCAGUGGGGAAUAUUGGACAAUGGGCGAAAGCCUGAUCCAGCCAUGCCGCGUGUGUGAAGAAGGCCUUCGGGUUGUAAAGCACUUUCAGUGGGGAAGAAAGCCUUGGGGCUAAUACCCUCGAGGAAGGACAUCACCCACAGAAGAAGCACCGGCUAACUCCGUGCCAGCAGCCGCGGUAAUACGGAGGGUGCGAGCGUUAAUCGGAAUUACUGGGCGUAAAGCACGCGUAGGCGGUCUGAUAAGCCGGUUGUGAAAGCCCCGGGCUCAACCUGGGAACGGCAUCCGGAACUGUCAGGCUAGAGUGCAGGAGAGGAAGGUAGAAUUCCCGGUGUAGCGGUGAAAUGCGUAGAGAUCGGGAGGAAUACCAGUGGCGAAGGCGGCCUUCUGGACUGACACUGACGCUGAGGUGCGAAAGCGUGGGUAGCAAACAGGAUUAGAUACCCGAGUAGUC
rnacentral:rRNA from 1 species